UACGUAGGUGGCAAGCGUUGUCCGGAUUUACUGGGCGUAAAAGAGCGCGCAGGCGGUCGUAUAAGUCGAAUGUGAAAGCCCCCGGCUCAACUGGGGAGGGUCAUUCGAUACUGUUCGACUCGAAGGCAGGAGAGGGAAGUGGAAUUCCGGGUGUAGUGGUGAAAUGCGUAGAUAUCAGGAGGAACACCGGUGGCGAAGGCGGGUCUCUGGGCCGAUACUGACGUGAGGAGCGAAAAGCGUGGGGGAGC
rnacentral:rRNA from 1 species